UCCUUACUUGACUAAGGCUCCGGAGGAAGCCACGGCUAACUCUGUGCCAGCAGCCGCGGUAAUACAGAGGCGGCAAGCGUUGUUCGGAAUUAUUGGGCGUAAAGAGCACGUAGGCGGCUUUGUAAGUCAGUUGUGAAAGCCUUCUGCUUAACGGAAGAACAGCAUCUGAUACUGCAAGGCUAGAGUGCGGAAGGGGAGAGUGGAACUUCUGGU
rnacentral:rRNA from 1 species